rnacentral:rRNA from 1 species
ACGCUGGCGGCAGGCUUAACACAUGCAAGUCGAACGGUAACAGGGAUUAGCUUGCUAAUCUGCUGACGAGUGGCGGACGGGUGAGUAAUGCUUGGGAAUCUGGCUUAUGGAGGGGGAUAACUACGGGAAACUGUAGCUAAUACCGCGUAAAAUCUUCGGAUUAAAGGGUGGGACUUUCGAGCCACCUGCCAUAAGAUGAGCCCAAGUGGGAUUAGGUAGUUGGUUAGGUAAAGGCUGACCAAGCCGACGAUCUCUAGCUGGUCUGAGAGGAUGACCAGCCACACUGGAACUGAGACACGGUCCAGACUCCUACGGGAGGCAGCAGUGGGGAAUAUUGCACAAUGGGGGGAACCCUGAUGCAGCCAUGCCGCGUGAAUGAAGAAGGCCUUCGGGUUGUAAAGUUCUUUCGGUGACGAGGGAGGUUGGUAGGUUAAUAGCCUAUCAAAUUGACGUUAAUCACAGAAGAAGCACCGGCUAACUCCGUGCCAGCAGCCGCGGUAAUACGGGGGGUGCGAGCGUUAAUCGGAAUAACUGGGCGUAAAGGGCACGCAGGCGGUGACUUAAGUGAGAUGUGAAAGCCCCGAGCUUAACUUGGGAAUUGCAUUUCAUACUGGGUCGCUAGAGUACUUUAGGGAGGGGUAGAAUUCCACGUGUAGCGGUGAAAUGCGUAGAGAUGUGGAGGAAUACCGAAGGCGAAGGCAGCCCCUUGGGAAUGUACUGACGCUCAUGUGCGAAAGCGUGGGGAGCAAACAGGAUUAGAUACCCUGGUAGUCCACGCUGUAAACGAUGUCGAUUUGGGGAUUGGGCUUUGAGCUUGGUGCCCGUAGCUAACGUGAUAAAUCGACCGCCUGGGGAGUACGGCCGCAAGGUUAAAACUCAAAUGAAUUGACGGGGGCCCGCACAAGCGG